GCCAUUCGGGAUACCUAGAUACGA
rnacentral:siRNA from 1 species